rnacentral:rRNA from 2 species
GAGUUUGAUCCUGGCUCAGGACGAACGCUGGCGGCGUGCCUAAUACAUGCAAGUCGAGCGAAUGGAUGGGAGCUUGCUCCCAGAAGUUAGCGGCGGACGGGUGAGUAACACGUGGGCAAGAAUGGAUGGGAGCUUGCUCCCAGAAGUUAGCGGCGGACGGGUNAGUNACACGUGGGCAACCUACCUGUAAGACUGGGAUAACUUCGGGAAACCGGAGCUAAUACCGGAUAACUUCCUUUCUUCUCCUGGAGAAAGGUUGAAAGACGGCUUCGGCUAUCACUUACAGAUGGGCCCGCGGCGCAUUAGCUUGUUGGUGAGGUAACGGCUCACCAAGGCAACGAUGCGUAGCCGACCUGAGAGGGUGAUCGGCCACACUGGGACUGAGACACGGCCCAGACUCCUACGGGAGGCAGCAGUAGGGAAUCUUCCGCAAUGGACGAAAGUCUGACGGAGCAACGCCGCGUGAGUGAUGAAGGUUUUCGGAUCGUGAAACUAUGUUAUCAGGGAAGAACUAGUGUCGGAGUAACUGCCGGUGCCUAAACGGUACCUGACCAGAAAGCCACGGCUAACUACGUGCCAGCAGCCGCGGUAAUACGUAGGUGGCAAGCGUUGUCCGGAAUUAUUGGGCGUAAAGCGCGCGCAGGCGGUUUCUUAAGUCUGAUGUGAAAGCCCACGGCUCAACCGUGGAAGGUCAUUGGAAACUGGGAGACUUGAGUGCAGAAAGAGAAGAGCGGAAUUCCACGUGUAGCGGUGAAAUGCGUAGAGAUGUGGAGGAACACCAGUGGCGAAGGCGGCUCUUUGGUCUGUAACUGACGCUGAGGCGCGAAAGCGUGGGGAGCGAACAGGAUUAGAUCCCCUGGUAGUCCACGCCGUAAACGAUGAGUGCUAUGUGUUAGAGGGUUUCCGCCCUUUAGUGCUGCAGUUAACGCAUUAAGCACUCCGCCUGGGGAGUACGGCCGCAAGGCUGAAACUCAAAGGAAUUGACGGGGGCCCGCACAAGCGGUGGAGCAUGUGGUUUAAUUCGAAGCAACGCGAAGAACCUUACCAGGUCUUGACAUCCUCUGACCACCCUAGAGAUAGGGACUUCCCCUUCGGGGGACAGAGUGACAGGUGGUGCAUGGUUGUCGUCAGCUCGUGUCGUGAGAUGUUGGGUUAAGUCCCGCAACGAGCGCAACCCUUAACCUUAGUUGCCAGCAUUCAGUUGGGCACUCUAAGGUGACUGCCGGUGACAAACCGGAGGAAGGUGGGGAUGACGUCAAAUCAUCAUGCCCCUUAUGACCUGGGCUACACACGUGCUACAAUGGAUGGUACAAAGGGUUGCAAGACCGCGAGGUUUAGCUAAUCCCAUAAAACCAUUCUCAGUUCGGAUUGCAGGCUGCAACUCGCCUGCAUGAAGCCGGAAUCGCUAGUAAUCGUGGAUCAGCAUGCCACGGUGAAUACGCUCGCCUGCAUGAAGCCGGAAUCGCUAGUAAUCGUGGAUCAGCAUGCCACGGUGAAUACGCGGUGGGGUAACCCUUACGGGAGCCAGCCGCCGAAGGUGGGACAGAUGAUUGGGGUGAAGCCUUGUACACACCGCCCGUCACAC